GAUGAACGCUAGCGAUAGGCUUAACACAUGCAAGUCGAGGGGCAUCACGAGGUAGCAAUACUUUGGUGGCGACCGGCGUACGGGUGCGUAACACGUAUGCAACCUUCCUGUAAGUGUGGGAUAGCCUCCUGAAAGGGAGAUUAAUACCUCAUGAUAUGUAUUUGCUGCAUGGCAUUUACAUUAAACAUUUAUGGCUUACAGAUGGGCAUGCGUUCCAUUAGGCAGUUGGUGUGGUAACGGCUCACCAAACCUACGAUGGAUAGGGGUUCUGAGAGGAAGGUCCCCCACACUGGAACUGAGACACGGUCCAGACUCCUACGGGAGGCAGCAGUGAGGAAUAUUGGUCAAUGGGCGCGAGCCUGAACCAGCCACGUCGCGUGAAGGAUGACGGCCUUAUGGGUUGUAAACUUCUUUUACAGGGGAAUAAAGUGAGUCACGUGUGAUUUUUUGCAUGUACCCUGUGAAUAAGCAUCGGCUAACUCCGUG
rnacentral:rRNA from 1 species